CGCCGCAUGCGCAGGGUGCACGCGUAGUUCAGGGCGGCCAUGUUGAAUACAUGCGGUCGUGUGUAUGACUACUUCAAAAAAUGUUCCGGAUUUAUCACGUUUUUCUUGCACACAAGAACCCAUAAAUGUGUCUCUAAGUCCAUGCUACUUUUGACCAAGUUCCUGAGGAUCAUGAAACUGCCUAAAGCAGUCCCAUUUUUGUUGCCUAAGAAGAGAAAACCCGUCUUCCUUUUGGCCUAAAAAUGAAGUCAGCAGGUCCAUGAGGUCUAAUUCUACCUCCAUGCAUGGUGGAUGUAUGAACAUGGAGGAAUGAACUAGAUCGGAGUUGUGUUGGUGCAUCAUUACCAAAGGUGACAAAGAUGAAGUGAAGAAACUGCAGACUUGGAGCCAACCAGCCAAAGAUGCCGUGGUGAUCAUUCUGGACGUGAUGCCGCCCUCGCCAAUUGCAAGUCAUCUCAAGAGGCCGUGUCUGGAGUCGACACUUAGGGAAGAGUAAAUCCAUGGCAAGCAUAAACAGAGAAAUAUCCAAAAUUGUCUUUGUUCUAAAGAGAAUUUUAUAAGGAAAUUGGCUUUCCUUGUAUUUUUGAUGAUCUAUCAUGGCUAUGACAAAUUAUUUUAAUGACUUUGAACCAAAUUUAACCAAACUCUGAAAGGUAGCUUUUGAAACGUUUGGGGAUUUUUUGUCAGUUUUUUUAUCGAAAGAUAUUUUUGUCACAUUAACGUUCUCAUGAAACAUCUCUAAAUUGCCAUGGAUUUACUCGAAACCAAAUUAUGCGGGUAAAAAACUUAAGCAUUUGCUUAUGAGCCAGGCACAUGUUGAAGGAUGAUUUUGAAAUGAACUCUC